rnacentral:rRNA from 1 species
CUACACAUGCAAGUCGAACGCACCUUCGGGUGAGUGGCAGACGGGUGAGUAACGCGUGGGAAUCUACCCAUUGGUGCGGAAUAACUCGGGGAAACUCGGGCUAAUACCGCAUAAGCCCUCCGGGGGAAAGAUUUAUCGCCAAUGGAUGAGCCCGCGUUGGAUUAGCUAGUUGGUGGGGUAACGGCCCACCAAGGCGACGAUCCAUAGCUGGUCUGAGAGGAUGAUCAGCCACACUGGGACUGAGACACGGCCCAGACUCCUACGGGAGGCAGCAGUGAGGAAUAUUGGACAAUGGGCGCAAGCCUGAUCCAGCCAUGCCGCGUGAGUGAUGAAGGCCCUAGGGUUGUAAAGCUCUUUCAGUAGGGAAGAUAAUGACGGUACCUACAGAAGAAGCCCCGGCUAACUUCGUGCCAGCAGCCGCGGUAAUACGAAGGGGGCUAGCGUUGUUCGGAAUUACUGGGCGUAAAGCGCGCGUAGGCGGAUUGUUAAGUCAGGGGUGAAAUCCCGAGGCUCAACCUCGGGAACUGCCUUUGGUACUGGCAAUCUAGAGUCCGGGAGAGGUGAGUGGAAUUCCUUAGUGUAGCAGGGUGAAAUUCGUAAAAUAUUAGGGAAGAACA